rnacentral:lncRNA from 8 species
CUACAUCAUGCAGCUGCUGUAGUCAGUAGCUGUAAAGUAAUUAAACUUCUACACCAUGCAGCUGCUGUAGUCUGUAGCUGUAAAGUAAUUAAACUUCUACAUCAUGCACCUGCUAUAGUCUGUAGCUGUAAAGUAAUUAAACUUCUACAUCAUGCAGCUGCUGUAGUCUGUAGCUGUAAAGUAAUUAAACUUCCAUAUCAUGCAGCAGCUGUAGUCUGUAGCUGUAAAGUAAUUAAACUUCUACAUCAUGCAGCUGCUGUAUUCUGUAGCUGUAAAGUAAUUAAACUUCUACAUCAUGCAGCUGCUGUAUUCUGUAGCUGUAAAGUAAUUAAACUUCUACAUCAUGCAGCUGCUGUAGUCUGUAGCUGUAAAGUAAUUACACUUCUACAUCAUGCAGCAGCUGUAGUCUGUAGCUGUAAAGUAAUUACACUUCUACAUCAUGCAGCAGCUGUAGUCUGUAGCUGUAAAGUAAUUAAACUUCUACAUCAUGCAGCAGCUGUAGUCUGUAGCUGUAAAGUAAUUAAACUUCUACAUCAUGCAGCUGCUGUAGUCUGUAGCUGUAAAGUAAAUACACUUCUACAUCAUGCACCUGCUAUAGUCUGUAGCUGUAAAGUAAUUAAACUUCUACAUCAUGCAGCUGCUGUAGUCUGUAGCUGUAAAGUAAUUAAACUUCUACAUCAUGCAGCAGCUGUAGUCUGUAGCUGUAAAGUAAUUAAACUUCCAUAUCAUGCAGCAGCUGUAGUCUGUAGCUGUAAAGUAUUUACACUUCUACAUCAUGCAGCAGCUGUAGUCUGUAGCUGUAAAGUAAUUACACUUCUACAUCAUGCAGCAGCUGUAGUCUGUAGCUGUAAAGUAAUUACACUUCUACAUCAUGCAGCAGCUGUAGUCUGUAGAGUAAUUACACUUCUACAUCAUGCAGCAGCUGUAGUCUGUAGCUGUAGAGUAAUUAAACUUCUACAUCAUGCAGCAGCUGUAGUCUGUAGAGUAAUUACACUUCUACAUCAUGCAGCAGCUGUAGACUAUAGAGUAAUUAAACUUCUACAUCAUGCAGCAGCUGUAGUCUGUAGAGUAAUUAAACUUCUACAUCAUGCAGCUGCUGUAGUCUGUAGCUGUAGAGUAAUUAAACUUCUACAUCAUGCAGCAGCUGUAGUCUGUAGCUGUAGAGUAAUUAAACUUCUACAUCAUGCAGCAGCUGUAGUCUGUAGCUGUAGAGUAAUUAAACUUCUACAUCAUGCAGCAGCUGUAGUCUGUAGCUGUAGAUUAAUUAAACUUCUACAUCAUGCAGCAGCUGUACUCUGUAGAGUAAUUACACUUCUGCAUCCUGCAGCAGCUGUAGUCUGUAGAGUAAUGACACUUCUACAUCAUGCAGCAGCUGUAGUCUGUAGAGUCAUUACACUUCUACAUCCUGCAGCAGCUGUAGUCUGUAGAGUAAUUACACUUCUAUGUCAUUCAGCAGCUGUAGUCUGUAGAGUAAUUACACUUCUAAGUCAUUCAGCAGCUGUAGUCGAGCUGUAG